GGGUGCUCAAGAGCGAGUGGCAAGCGGACUUUUAAUCCGUUGGUCGGCGGUUCGAAUCCGCCACGGCCUACCA
rnacentral:tRNA from 1 species